rnacentral:rRNA from 1 species
UAAUACGAAGGGUGCAAGCGUUACUCGGAAUCACUGGGCGUAAAGCGUGCGUAGGCGGUUGGUUAAGUCUGCUGUGAAAGCCCUGGGCUCAACCUGGGAACUGCAGUGGAUACUGGCCAGCUAGAGUGUGAUAGAGGAUGGUGGAAUUCCCGGUGUAGCGGUGAAAUGCGUAGAGAUCGGGAGGAACACCAGUGGCGAAGGCGGCCAUCUGGAUCAACACUGACGCUGAGGCACGAAAGCGUGGGGAGCAAACAGGAUUAGAUACCCUGGUAGUCCACGCCCUAAACGAUGCGAACUGGACGUUGGUUGCAACUUGGCAAUCAGUGUCGAAGCUAACGCGUUAAGUUCGCCGCCUGGGGAGUACGGUCGCAAGACUGAAACUUAAAUGAAUUGACGG